rnacentral:misc_RNA from 1 species
UACAGAGGUGGCAAGCGUUGUUCGGCUUUAUUGGGUGUAAAGGGCAGGUAGGCGGUUACGAAAGUCCGCUGUGAAAUCCCAGGGCUUAACCCUGGAACUGCAGCGGAAACUUCGUGACUUGAGCAUUGGAGAGGUGAGGGGAAUUCCUGGUGUAAGGGUGAAAUCUGUAGAUAUCAGGAGGAAUACCUAUGGCGAAGGCACCUCACUGGCUGAUGGCUGACGCUGAACUGCGAAAGCCGGGGGAGCAAACAGG